ensembl:lncRNA
GGAAGGUGAAACAUGACAGAAAAAUUAAGGAUUCCUGCUGUGCUUAUAGAAUGAGAAGACGUCAAGAGGUUGAGACUCCAGCAGAUACGAAAGAUUCUGAAAAUCAACUUAACAGCAUAGCUGAAAAAAAGAAGUGAAAGGAAGCAGAAGUGGGAGAGACCACAGCUACCCUCAUCUGAUGUUAAGAUUGCAGGAACAUCCUGUCUGUAUAAUCCUAGACUGAAACAGCAGCUGCUAAGCAUAUGCGUCAAGUUUUACUCAACAACAAUCUGAGAAUACUGUGAAACUGGAGAAAUGCCUUAAGCUCAUACAGCAACUUACAUGCAUUCUAAGGAAGAAGGUAAAACAAAAGCUGAGCUACUGCAGCAUUAGCUGACCAGACAGCUCCUGACCAAGCCUCGGCUUCUAGCAGACAUUGAAUUAUCUCUCCUACUGAAGCAAUGUGAAUCAUAGCAAAGGACUCAUGGAGAAUGGAGAGCCAUGUAUCGUCAGCACAAUGAUAGCAUCUAGUUCAGCAUCUCACUUCUAAACUUCUCAGUGGUUUCCAUAACACUUUGAGUAGGAGGAAAGAAGAGGAGGCAAGGACUAGUCAUACAAUUAGGCAAAUGGCUGUCUACUAUUUACUACUUCCCUGCUACACGUUUUCCCACAAAUACAAGCUCAGUCUCUCCCUAUCUAUACUUGCUGAGGCUGUGGGCUAGUUUAGAAUAGAAUGUAAGCAGCAGAGCACUCAUCAGCUGAAGUCAGCUGAACAAUACACAACAUUGACACAGACAACUUGCUGUUAAUAUCAUCUAGUGAAACUCAUCAUUAGUAUCAUAAAAUAUUUUUAGUUCAAUGCCUGAAGCCACCUAAAAUGGGUGUUAAGAAAUUCAAAAGAAUUUAUUCUUAUGAAAGGUCCUAUCAUCCUUCUUUUCUAGAACCAGGAUAUUCAAGCCAGCUUGCAACAGUCAUAAAUUCUCACAAAUUGCUGACCCAACAGAGGGUUUUCAUCUAUGUGCAUGCGGAUGUCACAAAUAGCCAUUAUGCUCACUGAAACAAAGCUACAGAAAAAUCUGAAAACUUACCCAAAGUAAGUCUACAGUAGUCUAGAGCAAGCUGAAUGCUUAUGGCAUCAAUACUAUUUUAGUGGUGUCUGCAUGCACAAAUAUUUUAGUACAGUGUUUUCAGGAUAGUCCCACAAUAAAGGGUAGAGUCAAUGUGAUAUAUAUAUAUAGUAUAUAGAUAUAAAUAGCCAUCCACUUGAAUCUACUGAUCAACUUUUCUCACUAACAAGAGAAACUGCUUUUUAAAAGACUGUACACAGCUAGCCCAGCUCCCCAGGUGACCUGAAAGGAAUAAAAUUCUUGUGAUAGGUAAAGCAAGAAGGCUAGGAUAAAGCUACAUUAAACUGGGAGUAAAUGAAUACAUGAAAUUUGUUCCUACUCUGACCAAUGUUAUUAAUUUCCAAAUGACAUAAAAUGAGAAGGAAAGAUGAUUCUGUGCAUAUCCUUUUCAUCUAUACCCUUCUCACGGUUCCACAUCUCAGAAAGAAGAGACUGUUGUAUCACAAGUUUACUUCAUUCGUGUUCUCUUACAGGAGAUGGAAAGGAAAAGAACUGAUGGUUUGCAGGAAUGCAAAAUAAGGGCACUGGCUACGGCAAUGUCCAGAGAACACGUGGCUUGCAGAAGCUGGAUGGCUUCAUUCUCCCUUGGAAUAACGACACCCAGGAUCUGCCCAGCUCCAGAGCCAUCACUAAGGAUGUGCUAUAUAUAACACAGGAUAUAAGGAUAUAUAUAUGUAUAUAACACAGAUAUAACAAAGGAUGUGUUAGAUACAUGUUUUAAGGGUCAGGCAACUAGGGCAAGUGUAAUUUUACCACUGCAUGUCCUCCAUGAACAGGUGUUUCUCAAAUCAGAGAACAACCCAAGUUGGAAGUAUGGUCCACAGGGACCACUGAGACAAACUCCUGUCUCCACUCAGGACCACCCUGAAGCCCUCAUUCAAACCUUAUGUCUGAGAGCAUUGUCCAAACACCCCUUCAGCUCCGGCAGCUUGGGGCCAUGAUCACUCCCCUGGGGAGCUUUUUCCAUGCCCGUAGUCCUCUGGAGAAGAACCUUUUUCCAGUGCAGCUCCAUGAACUCAUCUGAGUCCGUUGUACAGCCCAAUUAUUCAGGCCUCUGGUUGGGUAGCAGAAUUAUGUUUGGCCAAUGAGGCUGCCAAAUACUUCAAAAAACAACUGGCUACUAGGCAUUAUGUUGGUCCUGGUGUCACACAGAUGGCACUUCUUGGUUAGUUUCAGGGAAAAAGUGUCAGAGCAGGGAUCUGAGAAGACUUGAAGUACAAUUUUACCUUAGUCCUACAGAUACAGGGUACUGCCAAAGGUGUGAAAUUCUUAAAUAGAAAUAUCAAGAAUAUUACAAAGAAUAAUCUACAGGUGUGAUAGUAUAAUUUAAAAGAUCCCACUGAACCCUGGCUUUCAGCUAUUACUCUGACAUGUACAUAUAAAGACUCUCAAUUUCCCCCAGUUUUUUCACCACUCAUAAUUUUCUAUACAUUACACAAUAAUUCCCAUUUAUACACUAAUUCUCUUUCUCCUUUCAUCUGUUAACCGUCAGGUUCCCAAAUGCCUACAGUACAUGUGUUGCCUCUGCCUUCAGUGUUUUUCCAUCCUCUUCCACUCCUUCAUUGCUCAUCUUCAUUCUCAAACAAAUCCAGGACAGGUAGCUGUGUGCAGCACUCAGAUUAGCUAGCCUAAGCACAGGAAUCCCUAAAAGAUAACCAUGCUUCCGCAUGUGCAUCUGUUUCAGUAGUUGUUCUUACAUGUCUCUGAAUGUAUUUAACAUAAUUAUAUGUGUUAUUGCACCAGGAUUCAUCAUUAUAGAACAGUCAAAAAAGUCUAUCCCACAGAGUGUGGAGAGGGGAUUUUGAGGAAUGCAUUGUAAUACUACCAGUACAUCAUCUGUUUUGCUCUAUUUCCCAUAGUAUGUUAUUUAAUUUAGCCUUGAUAAAGUACUGGGAGGCUUUAAACCAUGCUCUUAGUCAUGAAAAUGUUCACAAAGCAGAAAACAGAAAAUGUUUUCUGCAUGGAACAAAGGGAACAAAAGGCAAGAAUUAUACCUAAAAGUACCAGGCUACAGUGUGAACAGAUUUUAUUGGACAUUUGUAUAAAAUGUCAGAGCACUUCAUUCUGGAGUAAUUCUGUCCUUAUUGCUCAUUUUUCUUCCCCCUUCUACUUCAGAGCUUCUUUUUCAGUACUUUUUUUUUUUUUUUUUUUUUUUUUUUUUUUUUUUACUUUUGAAAUCUCUACUUCUUAAAGACCACUUUUGCAUCCGUGUUUUUUUUCUUUUCUUUUUUUCCCCAUGGUUUUAAAUCUACAUGUUCAGAAGUAAAUCCUGUGGCUCCUCCUGUUUCCCAGCUGUUUAGUGCUUCUCAUGCUACCUCCCUCUUGCCUGCUUAAAGAAAACACAGGGGGGAUGCUUAGGAACUGAGAAAAGGAAAAUAGUGAAUGGUUUAAAACACUGAGGAUCACAAUAGCCAGAAAAGUUGUGAGACAGAGGACAGAAUAGUUGAAGUUGAGGCAGCUUAUUUUUAGUCCUUCUUUUCCCAGCAGCUUGUUUGCUUCCUAUAACUGAGUCUGGAUUGCAGUAACAUCUCUACAAAGUAUUUCAGAACAGCCUAAUGUCCUAACAAGGAGUAUGUCCAGUUUUCCAUUUUCAAGAAGUUCAGGCACCCUGCAAGCAAAACUUGGCUCUGUAAAAAUCUCAGAAGCGGGCAAUUUUAACUAGCCUGAGAGAGAGGAGGUAAGAGUGAUCCUGUCUGUAGUCAGCCUUUGCAGCCUCAAAGUAUGGACAUCUUCAGCAUUAGAGGAGCGCAGAGAUAAGGGAGGCAUUGUUGCACAUAUAACACUUCCCAUUUUCCAUGCUGCUUCAGCUGUUAAAUUUUCAUCUGCCUGUAGAUGCUGAAAUAUAUCCACAAAUUGAAGACUCCUAUACCUCAAAUGAAACUAACAUAUAAAGGAUAAUGUUUUACAAGUGAAAUGAAUAGGUAGAGUCCGCACAAACACUGAUUUCCAGGUAGGAUAACAUCAUAAACACAGGGAAAUUAAAUUAAUGGUUGAAUGAUAACAUUACUAAACUCCCAGCAUUAAUAAUCAGACAUAAAUCUUUAACUGUCUGUGACUGAGGACUCCUGUAUCUUGUUAUAACUCACCUCCCUACAGAAUACACAUCUCCUUCUAAAUAUAAAUAUUUGAAAUUACAAUCUAUGUGUGUUGGAGUAUGAUAAAAUGUGCAGGAAUUAACAGGUUGAUUCUAAAAAAUAACGUGUCUGGAAAGUAUAUAUUAAUACUAAAAACGGGGAAGCCGUCUUGCACUGGUCUUGUUUGUUUGCUCUUCAGUCAAUUUCAAUUAGUGUUCUUGAAACUGUAUGUGUGGAGUAAUAUUAGCUCUGAAAAAUCAGUAACCCCCAAUUUUUUACUGCAUUCAAGUACAGUUUUAUCUUACCUGUGCAUUAGCAAUGAGAGAGAAAUAAAAGAUAACUGAGGGAUUAUCUUUUGUCCUGGUUUCAUCUUUAAGACCAAAACCUACUAAAUCUGUCAUCUCUGCUACAGAUAAAUGGUUUGUAAAGUUUUGAAAUAAUCAUAUGCAUCCAAAAAUGGUGAAUUUCCAAAGUAAACUGGGAGUAAAAUAUCAAACCAGAGCACCUUCUGCAGGUCUGCCAGUACUCAGUCCACCUAUGUUUUAAGAAACAACCCCAAAAUCACCUCAAAACAUGUUGCAAACUUUUUUUUGUUUGUUUGUUUUUAAAUAUUCCUCACUGUCUUUAGCUUAGGAGCUGUAAUUUGACAAGCAGCUGACAUUGCAUUUUAAUAAUUAUGAUUAACCAAGUUAUAAAAGUUUUCAAUAUUUUAUUAUUUUUUUCUUUUUAGGUGCAUCAGCUUCUUGCUGAAUUAGUUAUUUCCUAACAUUUCUCAGUAGUGCAUGCUGCAUAUUAUAAGUCAACUGUGAUUUCAAGUGAUGUAUAAAGUAUAAUGAUUUUUUUUCCCAUAUUCUUUGUAUUGAUGAAGACAGAGAAAACACUGCAGCUCUGGUUUCAACCUUGAAAGAGCUACAAUCUGUUCUUUACUAUGUCACAUUCUUCAUCUGUAACAUGGGAACAGCAAUUGCUACGCUGUACCGUGAUGUGGGGUAUGAUCAAUGUGAUGUGCUCAGCUACUGCAGUAAAGAAAAACAAGAUGGGUAGCACUCCAGAAAAGACAAAAAGAUGAGUGAAUCCCGCAUAGCUGGGAAACAGAAGAUAUGAAGACACACAUGCUCACAGGUGGUCCAUGUGCUCAUGGAUUUCAUGAGGAGCAUCCCACUGGUUUCAGCAGGAGACAGAUUCCAACCCCUCGGCACAGUAAAACCACACAUUUCUUCCAUCAGUGGCAUGGAGCACUGGCAGGGACACAAACCCAGUUCCUGAGAUUCUGAGAAGACAACACUUGCUCAGCUUUGCAAAAGCCAUCUGGGAUCUUCAGAUAUAAGGACUGAAAUGUUACCUGUUUCAACCUGCAGGAAUAUUGCCACCAGGUUUGGGAAGGCCUGGAUUUCACCUAAAGCACUGCAAACAACAUGUUUACAUCUGCAUCUUAUUGAUCGCUUUUUGUUGGCCUGUUUGAAAAAAGUAACAGGAGAAUGGGGGGGGGAACCACACACACACAAAAAAAAAAAAAAAAAAGAAAGAAAAAGAGAAAAAAUAAAUGAAUUGCAGGGUGGAAGGAGUGGGAAAAGAGCUCGGUUGUGAGGGAGCCACAGCAAUACUACUAAAACAACUACUUUGUUUUAUAUUGGGUCUACUUCCAUGGCAUCUAACACCACAUGUAAAUGCUAAUACUCCCUGAAUGUUAUCACUUCAUGAAGGUUCAACAGCAAAGUGAUCUAAAAGACAGUGCUGUAAUGAAAUGCCAUGAGGUUAGGAACUGUCAGCACUCCAUCGCAAACCACCACAACACGCAAUGAACUGGGAAAUGAGCAAACUUUCUCCAAUAUAUACUAAGGUAGAAAGAAUAAAAGAUAUAUAAAUGAAUAUUCUGUUAUCUGCAGACAUCACUGUGGUGUUACAACACCAGACAAGAACACAGUGCGUCAGAAAUGACAAAUAAGGGAUCCCACUUUUCUGAUCCUUUUAUUGGGAAGAUGUAGUGAUUUCUGAAUCUCCACCCAGAUAAGGAAACUUCAGUCUAAAAAUUUUCUGUUCUAUGAAAUACUCAUAGUUAAAGGCACUUCCACCUUUAAAAAUACUGAAUUAAAUGCUUGCUCUGCAAAAUGCACCUACACUGUAUGCAAGGAUGUUGACCUCUCGCCAUCGCUUCCUAUGAGUUCACACAACGCAGCGGUGACACGGGGCCAUGGGGAAGCCCCCGCACUCUGCACGCACGUGUCACCUCCCGCACUCCUCCACCCCUGCACGGAGCAUCCCACACAGCUCCCGGCCUGGGCUGCUGGCGGGGCAGUCGCAGCUCAUGGUGGCAGCAGGAAGCGGCACAUCUGC